GUAAAAUUGGACGGUUGUUCGUUGUUCGGUAGGUAUAUAGUCGUUUCAAUGUAGCGUAUAAUAUAUUACAAUAUGUAACAAUCCGUGUAUAAUACGCACAUAAAUUCAAAUAUAUUUGCACAAGCACUAUAGUAAAUAAUUCGAUAUCCCUUUGGCAACUAACCGUCAUAUCGUUUUGAUCUGUCUUUCCCUACACUGCAUUUAAAGAGGGUUACUUCGAACAUCACCGCCGGGCUAGUAUAAACAAUAGUCUUAACGUCCCUCUUCCGAACAAGCGUCUAGAAAAGCUGCCAAAAGCCGAAUCACAUAAUUAAUUUUACAAUUAUAUUUAUAUACAAAACGUAAUAAAAUAAGAUCUGAGAGCUGAAACGCUUCCGGGGUAUGACGACGAUGUCCAUUCGACGUUGCCUCGGGAUUUACGUGAGUGCUGUGGAUGCAGUGCGGUCAUAGAUGAUAUAUCGCGUGUACGGAACUUCCGGAUGUUUCUCGCCACUAGGCAUCACGUCCGCCUACGGUAGUCGCUGCAGUUAUGUAAAUAAAAAAUACUAGAAACUAUAUUUUAUACACGAGAAAAUGGGAACGAAAACGAUCUAUAGUGAGCAAUUUACAUUUAUUCUUAUGUGCAGCUGCAGCACACUAUAUUUAUAAAGUUUAUAUAAACUUAUAACACUCCCACCACGACGGCACAACUAUAUAAUAUACACUUAGAGAUUUUUUC